UACGAAGGGGGCUAGCGUUGUUCGGAAUCACUGGGCGUAAAGCGCACGCAGGCGGAUCGUUAAGUCGGGGGUGAAAUCCCGAGGCUCAACCUCGGAACUGCCUUCGAUACUGGCGAUCUUUGAGUCCGGGAGAGGUGAGUGGAACUCCGAGUGUAGAGGUGAAAUUCGUAGAUAUUCGGAAGAACACCACGUGGCGGCAAGGACGGCUGC
rnacentral:rRNA from 1 species